rnacentral:sRNA from 1 species
CAACCCACUCUCUGUGCUAUGACUUCAUUACUCUUUCCCAGCCCAGCCCUGGGCAAGCCCCUUACGAAGUCUCAGGCUACCUGGAUGACCACCCUUUCUUAUGAUGCUGCAAGGAGGGCAGGUGGGCAGAGCCCCGUGCAUCCUGGGCUCAGGCCAGGGACCCAAGAGCUUGGGAGAAGCUGGUUCUCAGACUGAAGGCCAGAGCCCAGCACCUUGUCACCAUCCCGGGGAGCAUCAUGGCACACAACAACCAGAGCCAAGAGUCACACACCCUCCAGACCACGGUUGUCUGUGAGUUGCUGGGGAACCGGAGCAGCUGGGGACACUGGCACUACAACUGUGAUGGCCAGGACUCCCUUCUUAGCACACUUGAGUCUUUCAACUCCAGCAAAAGCCAGCCAGAACCAAGCAUAGCUGCAGAAGGAGAGAAGGGAAGGAAACAAUCCUUCCUGACCUAGAGCUGCGUCUACCCUCUCCGGAAACACCUGAAAGCUGGGGUGGGACCACGGCCCACCGUAGGUGUGAUAGGUGUGCAGAGAAGUCUACAUUCCCAUGUCAAAUUGACAGGCCUCGGAAGUCAAAAUAAGUGGUUUCCUAGACCGGGUCGAGAGCAAGUCUCUAUUGGUCCCAACUGAGUUUUUUCAGCUGGUUUUUCAACCAAACAGCACCUCAUCUCCCAGUGAGGGGAAGGGAAGGCUGGGCUGAGAGCAGCAAGGCUGCUCAUCUCACCUCUCCCCACCCAGCCAUGCCAGCCGCCUCACCUGGUGGGGAGAGGUGGGCCUCACCUGGGUCCCCUGGCAGUGCUCUGUGAAGGGUCUUGACAUUGCACUGUAAUAAUAAAGGUGUGUGUGAAGUAUC